GAUUGAAUGAAGCUUCUUCCCAUCCAAACUUUUAAAUCUGUGAAGAGGAGGAAUGUCUCGACUCCAUCUACCUGCUCUGAAGGGAUGCAGUUUAUUUUCUGACUUGAUUGACCUACAGAGAACAUUGCUGCUGGAAGAGCCUUUCCUUGAGAAGAACAAUGCUGCUGGACUUGAACUUCCUGCCAGACUCAGCCAGACCAAGCCAGAUGAGCUGUCUACCUUCACAGUCUGCCUCAUGUCUGCUCUUCCAGUUGGCUGUGUUUGGGAAGCUGACCUCCCCAGGAAUCCACCUCAGAAACUGGAUGGUUUUCUUUUUGGGGCCAAGCUUGUUCUGACCAAAGAAGUCACAGAAGAGGUACAUGAGUGGGCAGAACGAUUGGGAGAAAAGAGCAGGGAGUAGCAGGAUUGCUGCUGUCCAGACUCCUGGGUUCAAGGCUCGUGGUCCUGAGUGAAUUCCAAAUGCACACAGAAAUGCAGUGUGGGAGGAGCUGUGCCAGGGGAUGGUCAAAUCUCAGUGCUGGGGUUUACAGGUUUGGAGUCUCCACAUUAGAUACACAACCAAUUCCAUCCCAAGAAUGUAAACUGCUAAUACUGCAUCAAAAGAUUUUUAAUCCUAGAAUGUGAAAUACCCAGCCCAACUCAAAACAAAACUCAAAACCAACUACCAUCCUAAAUCUAGUGAGGUUUUAUAUAAUUUUUUUUUUCCUGGGAUAUAAUGAAUUAAACAUAGUAUGAAAUGCAAAAAGGUUACAUUGAGACAUAUAAUAUUUGAAGGUUUAAUUCAUUUUUCUAGUGUAUAAGACACAAGGCUAUUAAAUUUUUAAAGCAGUGAUCUCCUGAAGUCCCUACUUUAUGAGGGCUUUCUUCAUAAAGAUAAAUGGUUUCCUUGCCAAAUCAAAUGCAGAUUUGAAACAAAUUAAGUUAAUGUUCAAUGGUACAAGGUAGAAUGGAUGGGGGAACUGUUUUAUUUUGCAUUGUAAUAACCAUAUACACCUAAAUCAAUAGCUGUGGAAAAAAAAGGCAAUAAUAUCACGUAACUGCAGGAAAUGAAAUAUAGUGAGAUGAAGGGGGGAGCGG